CCUCGCGCUUGGUUUGAGCGUUUUGCCUCUGUGGUCACUGCUGCUGGUUUUUCACCCAGUGAUCACGAUCCAGCGUUGUUUGUCCACCUUUCUGCUCGUGGUCGCACUCUUCUUCUUCUAUAUGUUGAUGACAUGAUCAUUACCGGCGACGAUUCUGAGUACAUUGCCUUUGUCAAGGCCCGUCUUAAUGAGCAGUUCCUUAUGUCUGAUCUUGGUCCUCUUCGUUACUUUCUUGGGAUUGAGGUUUCCUCCACCUCUGCUGGCUUUUUUAUUUCCCAAGAAAAGUAUAUCCAGGGUCUUCUUACUCGUGCGGCUCUUAGUGAUGAGCGCACUACUGAGACUCCUAUGGAGCUCAAUGUUCACCUUCGUGCUUCUGAUGGUGAGCCCUUGUCUGAUCCGGCACGUUAUCGUCAUCUUGUUCGGAGUCUUGUGUAUCUUGCUGUCACUCGUCCGGAUAUCUCCUAUCCUGUCCAUAUUCUGAGUCAGUUUGUUUCUGCUCCCACUUCAGUUCACUAUAGUCACCUUCUUCGCGUUCUACGAUAUCUUCGUGGCACGAUCUCUCAUCGUCUCUUUUUCCCCGUUCCA
rnacentral:rRNA from 1 species